rnacentral:lncRNA from 1 species
AGGACAAGCAGCCUGCCCCAGAAGUGGAAGAAACUGAAAGUGGAGUCCUGAGAGCUGAAUCUGCCGCAGGCCCGCGGGCCGCCCGGGAAUUAGGAAAGUUAGAGGGGAUCCACGCCCACAAGUGCUAUGGACUCUGAUCGCCCAACCAGAGCAAACCCAGAAGGACAACUCUCCAAGCCUUUCAAUCACUCCCACUAACCCGUAUUGUGGACACACUAUUGUGAGGCCUACUAAGGAUGUACUGCUGAUGACCUUUUGAAGAGUGGCUAGUGGUUGGCCCAUGUAGGCUGAGCUCAGCUGGUCCAUCCUUCUUGGACCCACAGACUCCCUGGGGCAUGUUCUUCUCAUGAUGAUGACUGCAACACAAGAGGGCAAGACAUCCUACACAAGCACAUUUCAAGAUUUUGCUCACAUCAUCUCUGCUAAAAUUCCUUUAUCCAAAGCAAGGAACACAACUGGUUCAAAUAAGCACAGGCCUCCAAAUAUCCAGAUCUAAAAAUGGAGUGUUCACCUCAAGCUCCUUAUUUAUCACUGCAAGAGAUUCUGGGGCUGGCAGCUAGUGACAUGAGCUGGAAUCCUCUUCCUGAAAUUGCUGUCUUCUUGGAUGGGCUCUCCACAUCUUCCACCACGAAGUAAAAACAAUUCUUGUGGGUGCCAGUGGACCUGCUCUGCAGACCCAGGCUCCUCUCCCAUGGAGCAUCCCAAGUCUGUCCUUAUGGGAAGAAGCAGGAGCCCUGUCUGGCUGUACCCCAAGCUGCUUUCUCUGGACCAAUGCUGUCAGCGAUAGAGGGAACCCUUCCACCAUCAUGUGAAGAAGCCUGGUCUAGCCUGCUGGAGGAUGAGAGAUCACAUGGAAUGAGGCCACAAUCGUUCCAGCCAAAGCCCCAGUAAUAGAAUUAAGAUCAUCCAAGACCAUGGCAUCCCGCCUGAGAAGUUCAGAUGAGAAGGGCCACCUGAACAACC